rnacentral:tRNA from 1 species
UCUGGGAUAGCUCAGUUGGUAGAGCAUGAGACUCUCGGGGUUGUGGGUUCGAGCCCCACCUUGUCAAAA